GACGUAGACCCGAAACCGGGCGACCUACCCAUGAGCAGGAUGAAGCGAAAGUAAAAUUUCGUGGAGGUCCGAACCCACGAGCGUUGAAAAGCUCGGGGAUGACUUGUGGGUAGCGGUGAAAUUCCAAUCGAGCCCGGAGAUAGCUGGUUCUCCCCGAAAUAGCUUUAGGGCUAGCCUCAAGGUGAGAGAUACGGAGGUAGAGCACUGAAUGUCCUAGGGGGUAUUGCACCUACCGAAGACUAUCAAACUCCGAAUGCCGUCAUCUUAUACUUGGGAGUCAGACUGUGGGUGAUAAGAUUCAUAGUCGAAAGGGCAACAGCCCAGAUCGUCAGCUAAGGUCCCUAAAUGUAAGUUAAGUGGUAAAGGAUGUGGGAUUGCACAGACAACCAGGAUGUUGGCUUAGAAGCAGCCACUCAUUCAAAGAGUGCGUAAUAGCUCACUGGUCGAGUGAUCCUGCGCCGAAGAUUUCCGGGGCUAAAACUUACUACCGAAGCUACGGCAUCA
rnacentral:rRNA from 1 species